rnacentral:rRNA from 1 species
GUUAGGAAUAUUGGACAAUGGGCGAAAGCCUGAUCCAGCCAUGCCGCGUGAACGAUGAAGGCCUUCGGGUUGUAAAGUUCUUUAGCCGAUGAUUAUAAUGACUGUAGUCGGAAAAUAAGCCCCGGCUAACUUCGUGCCAGCAGCCGCGGUAAUACGAAGGGGGCGAGCGUUAUUCGGAAUCACUGGGCGUAAAGCGUGCGUAGGCGGUUUUGUAAGUUAGGAGUGAAAGCCCAGGGCUCUACCUUGGAAUUGCUCUUAAAACUGCAAGGCUCGAAUCUCGGAGAGGAUAGCGGAAUUUCCAGUGUAGCAGUGAAAUGCGUAGAUAUUGGAAGGAACACCAGUGGCGUAAGCGGCUAUCUGGACGAGUAUUGACGCUGAGGCACGAAAGCGUGGGGAUCAAACAGGAUUAGAAACCCUAGUAGUCC